GACGAACGCUGGCGGCGUGCUUAACACAUGCAAGUCGAACGGGACUAGAAAAGCUUGCUUUGCUAGUCUAGUGGCAAACGGGUGAGUAACACGUAGACAACCUGCCGAUCAGAUGGGGACAACAUUCCGAAAGGAAUGCUAAUACCGAAUGGUGUGCGGGGGAGGCAUCUCCCCCGCAUGAAAGAUGGCCAAUACAUGUAAGCUAUCACUGAUCGAUGGGUCUGCGUCUGAUUAGCUGGUAGGUAAGGUAACGGCUUACCUAGGCGACGAUCAGUAGCCGGUCUGAGAGGAUGAACGGCCACAUUGGGACUGAGACACGGCCCAGACUCCUACGGGAGGCAGCAGUGGGGAAUCUUCCGCAAUGGGCGCAAGCCUGACGGAGCAACGCCGCGUGAGUGAAGAAGGUCUUCGGAUCGUAAAGCUCUGUUGAAGGGGACGAACGUGUAUAGUGCAAAUAGUGCUAUAUAAAGACGGACCUUUGAGAG
rnacentral:rRNA from 1 species